UACGUAGGGGGCAAGCGUUGUCCGGAUUUAUUGGGCGUAAAGAGCGUGUAGGCGGCCUGGAAGGUCAGCUGUGAAAACUCGAGGCUCAACCUCGAGACGCCGAUGGAAACCGUCUGGCUAGAGUCCGGAAGAGGAGAGUGGAAUUCCUGGUGUAGCGGUGAAAUGCGCAGAUAUCAGGAAGAACACCCGUGGCUAAGGCGGCUCUCUAGUACGGUACUGACGCUGAGACGCGAAAGCGUGGGGAGCGAACAGG
rnacentral:rRNA from 1 species